AAUCUGAGACAGUAGGCUCUGAGAGUCUGAGCCAUGAAACUGAAGACUUCUGAUCUCUGAAGUCCCUGAACUGUAAAGACCCUGUUGAAUAUGUGAUGUCGAUUUUUCAGAUCUGUUGUUGAAUUAGAAUCUGUCCCAAAUUAUCUAUAGCUAAUCAGCCAAAUGCCCAAAUCAUAAAUUCAUUCAAUUGGCCUUCCUCAGCAAUCUUCUUGUCUUCUCUGUGUGUGAAAAAAGAGUGCUACUCAGUAUACUAUACCGGUACUCUUAUCGACAAAACGACGUACACACAUCCGAAAGACGACGUCAGCCGAUGGCCCCCACUUCGCCGCGAAACAGGCAUGAACGUUCAUGAACCAACCCCACGACAUUUAUUCCGCCAAUAGAGACAUCCGCCAUCACUCAACGUUCGCAGGUACAAUAGCCGCAAGGCUUAAGAGGUGGAGGGAGGAAAAAAAUUGUAUAAAAGGAG